rnacentral:lncRNA from 1 species
AGGGAAGAUAUUCAAAAAUAAAUCGAUCUCCAAAAAAGAAUCAAGGAGAAAUAAUGAAUCGUAACAGAUAAUCUCACUUCAUCACCAUUAUUUUUUCACUCUCGUGAAAAGAGAGUCCCUCAAACAAGCACACGAAACGAAAAAUUAAAGGAAAAAGUGCGUGCGUGCGUGCGUGUGUGUGUGUAUAUGUAAAUCGACAGCAGUAAAAUGAACAUUUAAGAAUAAGAAACAAAAAUCUCACAGAAAAUUUAAUUACAAUGCUGUACAAGAAGGGCGACAAGAGAGAAGAGCAACGAAGAGCAAAGGAAGCCACAGGAGACAGUAAUCGUAGUUCCAGCUCCGGCGUCCAUGGCCGGCAAUGGCGCCGCCGCGUCCUGCGCCGUUACAUAAGCCAUUGAGAGAACCGCCAUUCCCAAAACAACAAUCAAUAAGGCUCUCCAACUGCCAGAGUUUGCCAUUUAUUUCAGAAGAGAGAAGAAUCAAGCUGCUGCAACUGCGAGUAGCUUUUUCCUAUUUAUAGGGCUUGCUUUCAAAAUUUCGAAUUCGUAAUUUCUUAAUUAAAAUAAUUAAUCAUGUUGUUUAAUUGGUAAUUAAUUAUUACUUUGUGAUUAAUUAAUGUUUGCUCAUUUACUUUGUGGGACCCGCAGAGACACUGACAUGUUAUCCGUCGACACCUUGUAGUGGGCCCCGGAGGUAUUUAAUACCGUUGGAUUGUUUACUGAUGCACGUUGUAGACCGUUAGAUGAAUAAGUCUUAGAAUAGCAUUCCAACUGUGGUGGGUCUCAAAGUUUUGGUUGCAGAGAUCUGCAGACCGGCGUAACGUAGCCGUAAUCAUGUAGUUGAUUGGGACACGUGGCGGGAAAUGAGAAGAGCAUUUGGGUUUUGCUGUCAGUUGUUGUAGUUGAGAUGGCGGUCUUAUGAUGGGACAUGGAUGGUAAUUAUUAUUUCUAUUUAAUUUAUUUUGAAAUGUAUAUUAUUUAGCGUAAUAAUAAUUUAGUAACGUUUUUAAU